GACGAACGCUGGCGGCGUGCCUAAUACAUGCAAGUCGAACGAGAGCGCCCGGUGCUUGCACUGGUCAAUCUAGUGGCGCACGGGUGAGUAACACGUGGGUAACCUGCCCAUCAGAGGGGGAUAACAUCCGGAAACGGAUGCUAAAACCGCAUAGGUCUUCGAGCCGCAUGGCUUGAAGAGGAAAAGAGGCGCAAGCUUCUGCUGAUGGAUGGACCCGCGGUGCAUUAGCUAGUUGGUGAGGUAACGGCUCACCAGGGCCGUGAUGCAGAGCCGACCUGAGAGGGUGAUCGGCCACAUUGGGACUGAGACACGGCCCAAGCUCCUACGGGAGGCAGCAGUAGGGAAUCUUCCGCAAUGGACGCAAGUCUGACGGAGCAACGCCGCGUGAGUGAAGAAGGUGUUCGGAUCGUAAAACUCUGUUGUUAGAGAAGAACAAGUGCUAGAGUAACUGUUAGCGCCUUGACGGUAUCUAACCAGAAAGCCACGGCUAACUACGUG
rnacentral:rRNA from 1 species